UACGAAGGGGGCUAGCGUUGUUCGGAAUUACUGGGCGUAAAGGGCGCGUAGGCGGCUUCGAUAGUCGGGGGUGAAAUGCCUGGGCUCAACCCAGGAACUGCACUCGAAACUUCGAGGCUAGAGUGUGGGAGAGGAUAGUGGAAUUCCCAGUGUAGAGGUGAAAUUCGUAGAUAUUGGGAAGAACACCGGUGGCGAAGGCGGCUAUCUGGACCACAACUGACGCUGAGGCGCGAAAGCGUGGGGAGCAAACAGG
rnacentral:rRNA from 1 species